rnacentral:rRNA from 1 species
GACGAACGCUGGCGGCGUGCUUAACACAUGCAAGUCGAACGCUGAAGCUUGGUGCUUGCACUGGGUGGAUGAGUGGCGAACGGGUGAGUAAUACGUGAGUAACCUGCCCUUGACUCUGGGAUAAGCCUGGGAAACUGGGUCUAAUACUGGAUACGACAUGUCACCGCAUGGUGGUGUGUGGAAAGGGAUUUACUGGUUUUGGAUGGGCUCACGGCCUAUCAGCUUGUUGGUGGGGUAAUGGCUCACCAAGGCGACGACGGGUAGCCGGCCUGAGAGGGUGACCGGCCACACUGGGACUGAGACACGGCCCAGACUCCUACGGGAGGCAGCAGUGGGGAAUAUUGCACAAUGGGCGGAAGCCUGAUGCAGCGACGCCGCGUGAGGGAUGACGGCCUUCGGGUUGUAAACCUCUUUCAGCGCGGAAGAAGCGAAAGUGACGGUACGUGCAGAAGAAGCGCCGGCUAACUACGUG